rnacentral:rRNA from 1 species
UACAGAGGUGUCAAACGUUGUCCGGAGUUACUGGGCGUAAAGGGCGCGUAGGCGUCCUUAUAAGUCAGAUGUGAAAGCUCUGGGCUCAACCCAGGAAUUGCAUCUGAUACUGUAGGGCUUGAGUUCGGUAGAGGAGGGCGGAAUUCCAGGUGUAGCGGUGAAAUGCGUAGAUAUCAGGAGGAACACCGGUGGCGAAGGCGGGUCUCUGGGCCGAUACUGACGCUGAGGAGCGAAAGCGUGGGGAGCGAACAGG